GAUGAACGCUGGCGGCGUGCUUAACACAUGCAAGUCGAACGGAAAGGCCCUGCUUGCCGGGUACACGAGAGGCGAACGGGGGAGUAAAACGUGGGUGAUCUGUCCUGCACUUCGGGAUAAGCCUGGGAAACUGGGUCUCAUAUAGGAUAGGAGACAACUUUAGUGUGAUGGUUGGAAAGUUUUUUCGGUGUAGGAUGAGCUCGCGGCCUAUCAGCUUGUUGGUGGGGUAAUGGCCUACCAAGGCGCCGACGGGUAGCCGGCCUGAGAGGGUGGACGGCCACAUUGGGACUGAGAUACGGCCCAGACUCCUACGGGAGGCAGCAGUGGGGAAUAUUGCACAAUGGGCGCAAGCCUGAUGCAGCGACGCCGCGUGGGGGAUGACGGCCUUCGGGUUGUAAACUCCUUUCGCUAGGGACGAAGCUUUUUGUGACGGUACCUAGAUAAGAAGCACCGGCUAACUACGUG
rnacentral:rRNA from 1 species